AACCCGGUGAUCUAGCCAUGGGCAGGUUGAAGGUUGGGUAACACUAACUGGAGGACCGAACCGACUAAUGUUGAAAAAUUAGCGGAUGACUUGUGGCUGGGGGUGAAAGGCCAAUCAAACCGGGAGAUAGCUGGUUCUCCCCGAAAGCUAUUUAGGUAGCGCCUCGUGAACUCAUCUUCGGGGGUAGAGCACUGUUUCGACUAGGGGGUCAUCCCGACUUACCAACUCGAUGCAAACUACGAAUACCGAAGAAUGUUAUCACGGGAGACACACGGCGGGUGCUAACGUUCGUCGUGAAGAGGGAAACAACCCAGACCGCCAGCUAAGGUCCCAAAGUCAUAGUUAAGUGGGAAACGAAGUGGGAAGGCUCAGACAGCCAGGAUGUUGGCUUAGAAGCAGCCAUCAUUUAAAGAAAGCGUAAUAGCUCACUGGUCGAGUCGGCCUGCGCGGAAGAUGUAACGGGGCUAAACUAU
rnacentral:rRNA from 1 species